rnacentral:rRNA from 1 species
GACGAACGCUGGCGGCGUGCCUAACACAUGCAAGUCGAACGGAGACAUUCUUGUAGUAAUACGAGAAUGUUUUAGUGGCGGACGGGUGAGUAACGCGUGAGGAACCUACCUUGGAGUGGGGGAUAACACAGGGAAACCUGUGCUAAUACCGCAUAAUAUGGAGAGAUGGCAUCAUUUUUCCAUCAAAGAUUAAUCGCUCUGAGAUGGCCUCGCGUCUGAUUAGAUAGUUGGCGGGGUAACGGCCCACCAAGUCUGCGAUCAGUAGCCGGACUGAGAGGUUGAACGGCCACAUUGGGACUGAGACACGGCCCAGACUCCUACGGGAGGCAGCAGUGGGGAAUAUUGCGCAAUGGGGGAAACCCUGACGCAGCAACGCCGCGUGAAGGAUGAAGGUUUUCGGAUUGUAAACUUCUUUGACGAGGGACGAAAGAAAUGACGGUACCUCGAAAACAAGCUCCGGCUAACUACGUG